rnacentral:tRNA from 1 species
GCAAUAGUAGUUUAGUGGUAAAAUAUAGGAUUGUGGAUCCUAUGUCGCGAGUUCGAUUCCCGCCUAUUGCC